CGGCGGAGGAGGCGCUUUUCUGGGGAGAGACACGGGCACUGUCACACCAGAGGCCACCUGGGUCCCCGCCCGCCUUGGCACCUGCUGCUCACUGCACACUGGGUCCCUGUGCAGGGGCAGCUGCAGGGAAGGCCCGACCCGGGGCCCGGCUCAGCAGGUCCCACCGCCACAAGCCCUGACACCAGCUCAGGUUCCAGUCUCUCUUCUCCAGCCUAGGCCCAGCCUGGUCACACAGGACCUCAAGUCAAAUGCCUGGGUUUGAACCUGCACCCCGCCAGCGACCUCUGUUUGACCUUAGGAACAAUAACCUGAAGGUCCCAGUGGGUGGCUGUGAGCCUCGACAGAGAAAAUUCAGCUGAGUCCCCCACCCUGUCCCCUCCUCUCCCUCCGGACCAGAGAGCCACACCUUGCACCCAGAGGCCCCCAGCACGAGGCCCAGCAGUCCAGCAGCCAGCCAGGACCCAGCAUGGCCCAGAGUGGCCGCCAAGGGGCCCACACUCACCCUCAUAGAAGCGAAUCUUGUCCCGAAGGAUCACCAUGCCUUUUGUCAGCAGCUGGUUCUGAAGGGGAGGCAAGAGAGGCUCGCAGAGGUCAAGACACCAGACCAGGUCCACAUGGGACACGCCAGAGCUGAGAUCUGAACCUCCACCUUGGCACUCAACACUGACAAUUCCUCCUUCCCUCCCUACAUACCUCCAGGGCCUGAGAGAAUGGGAGCACCACAUUCCACACCAGCCAGGCUGAAAGUACACAGGCACUGUCAGCGCUGAGGCCCCAGAUAUGACCUCCCAACAGUCUUCUGAACCAAAUACAUCAGAAAUCUUACUUUUUAGGUUGCUAUUCCCUUUAGGAAAACUUUUUUUUUUUCUUUUUGAGACGAAGUUUUGCUUUGUCACCCAGGCUGGAGUACAGUGGCACAAUCUCAACCUAGAGGUUGCGGUGAACCCGGGUUCAAGCGAUUCUCCUGCCUCAGCCUCCUGAGUAGCUGGGACUACAGGCAUGCGCCACCAGGCCGAGUUAAUUUUUGUAUUUUUAGUAGAGACGGGGUUUCACCAUGUUGGCCAGGCUGGUCUCGAACUCCUGACCUCAAGUGAUCCACCCGCCUUGGCCUCCCAAAGUGUUGGGAUUACAGGUAUGAGCCACCACACCCGGCCUAGGAAAACUUUCUAAUCAGUCCUGAAUUAUAGGCAGUCCUCUCUUUGCAUGGUUCUGAUACAUACAAGUUUCAGUUAUCCUGGUUAAGUACAAGCUCUGCUGCCCGCUCUCCAGUCCACAAAUCAAAAUGUAGAUAACAGAUGUGUACAAUGAUCACUGACCAAUUGCAACACUUCUUUCAAAGUCAGUCUCUGAUUGGUCCCUAAGUAUCUGUCAGCAGUUCAUGCACAGACAGCAAAUUGUGACCUGUGUUGCCUCCUUGUCUGCCAGUGUGAAACCCAUGUGGCAUUCUGUAAAAAUGGAUACAAGAAAAAGCAACUGGCCAACACAGAUGGAAGUGCAGCACAUCAAUGAAAAAUGAUCAUGUUCUGAACGGGCAAACACUGCUCAAAGUACUAUGUUCCCACUGUUUUAUUUUUUAUUUUUAUUUUUGGAG
rnacentral:lncRNA from 1 species